rnacentral:rRNA from 1 species
CGGGACGGGUGAGUAAUGUCUGGGAAACUGCCUGAUGGGGGGGGAUAACUGCUGGAAACGGUAGCUAAUACCGCAUAACGUCGCAAGACCAAAGAGGGGACCUUCGGGCCUCUUGCCAUCGGAUGUGCCCAGAUGGGAUUAGCUAGUAGGUGGGGUAACGGCUCACCUAGGCGACGAUCCCUAGCUGGUCUGAGAGGAUGGCCAGCCACACUGGAACUGAGACACGGUCCAG